rnacentral:rRNA from 1 species
UACGUAGGUGGCAAGCGUUAUCCGGAAUUAUUGGGCGUAAAGAGUGAGCAGGCGGCCGUUUAAGUCUGAAGUCAAAUGCAGUGGCUCAACCACUGUCCGCUUUGGAAACUGGAUGGCUAGAGUACGAGAGAAGUAUGCGGAAUUCCAUGUGUAGCGGUGAAAUGCGUAGAUAUAUGGAGGAACACCAGAGGCGAAGGCGGCAUACUAGAUCGAUACUGACGCUCAGUCACGAAAGCGUGGGUAGCAAAUAGG